UAUGUGAUCGUCUCUCGCAUAUCAAUAAGCGGAGGAAAAGAAACUAACAAGGAUUCCCCUAGUAACGGCGAGUGAAGCGGGAAGAGCUCAAAUUUGAAAUCUUAAAGGGUUUCCCUUUACGAAUUGUAGUUUAAAGAAGUGUUUUCUGUUGAGGUUUUGGUAAAAGUUCUUUGGAAUAGGACAUCAUAGAGGGUGAGAAUCCCGUAUUUGACCUUUACUUUCAACUUUGUGAUACACUUUCAAAGAGUCGGAUUGUUUGGGAAUGCAGUCCAAAAUGGGUGGUAAAUUUCAUCUAAAGCUAAAUAUUGGCGAGAGACCGAUAGCGAACAAGUACCGUGAGGGAAAGAUGAAAAGAACUUUGAAAAGAGAGUUAAACAGUACGUGAAAUUGUCAAAAGGGAAGCGUUUGACACCAGUGUUGUUUUUCUGAAAAUCAAUUAAAGAACUGUUUAUGCUAAGUUGUUUAGACUUUAUCAGCUACUGUUUAGUUUUGAGCUUUUCUUUAAUGCACUUUUCAGUUAACAAGUCAACAUCAAUUUCUUUUGCUGUAAAAAAGCUUGAGGAAGGUGGCUUGAGAUUCGUCUUAAGUGUUUAUAGCCUCUUGCCUAUGCAGUCGGAGAGAUUGAGGUCUGCAGCGUAGAUCCUUCGGGGCUAAAUGCAUUUGUGUUAAGUUAUAGCAUUUUAUAGACAACUUGUUGACUAUGAUUUGUCUUGUAGCUUACUCGCUUAUGUUAUUUUACCUACGCUUAGGAUGUUGAGCGCAUGUCUCUCUCU
rnacentral:rRNA from 1 species